GACAGAGGGUGCAAACGUUGCUCGGAAUCACUGGGCGUAAAGGGCGUGUAGGCGGGAAGAUAAGUCGGGCGUGAAAUCCCUGGGCUCAACCCAGGAACUGCACUCGAAACUGUUUUUCUUGAGUAUCGGAGAGGAAAGCGGAAUUCCUGGUGUAGAGGUGAAAUUCGUAGAUAUCAGGAGGAACACCAGCGGCGAAGGCGGCUUUCUGGACGAUAACUGACGCUGAGACGCGAAAAGCGUGGGGAGCAAACAGG
rnacentral:rRNA from 1 species